rnacentral:rRNA from 1 species
GGGAAUUUUACUAGGUCAGGACAAUGUAAGGAUUGACAGAUUGAGAGCUCUUUCUCGAUCCAUUGUGUGGUGGUGCAUGGCCGCUCCUGGUUGGUGGAGUGAUUUGUCUGGUUGAUUCCGUUAACGAACGAGAUCUCGACCCUUAAAUAGGUGCCCGUGUCGCUCGUAGUCUCACUCCGCUGGGCUUGCCCUUCUUGGAUGGGACGAGACUGCGGGAAUACUUCUUAAGGGGACUGUAUGCGUUUAUAGCAUGCGGAAGAGCGAGCCAAUAG